rnacentral:sRNA from 1 species
CCCGGGCUGCUAGUCUCAACGCAGCCGAGUCCGCGCAAGGCCCACGCUGCCCGGCUGCUGCUGACUGGAACCUUGGGGCACCCCCCACACCCUUGAAACCUGGUAAGAAGCGUGUCUGGCCGUAAGCAGCUAGCCGGAUCGUGGUUGUCUUGCCUGGAGUUUCGGCCAAUCAAUCCCCGGACUCAGUUGCAAGUUGGGCAAACAGGUGCAGCAGGUGAGCAGGAGCAGGCACAAGUGCCGGCUGGCUUGGCAGAAGAGAGAGACUAGUAUGUUGUCAGCUGAGAUAUAUUAAUAUAUUUAUAACUACCCAUGACUUAUGUAUAAACUGCGCCUGUAUAUGUAUGUCGUCCCUCGUGGCGCCGUUUGGGGGCGAAGCCCGAUUCACCCUCCAUAAUGUACUGUACCAUGGUGUGCGCUGUGCCAUGUACAUACAUGUACAUGUACCUCGGCAACCAUCAUCCUAGUCAGAACAAAAAAGUGAAGAAAGAAAGAAGAAAAAAGAGAAAACGUCAUGAGGGCCAGAUUCAAUAAUUCUAGAUCCUCUUUUUCUUUUUCCUGCAGUGGGCGUCAUGAUCUGAAUAUGAAAAAAAAAAAUUAAAAAAAAUAAAAAAAAAUAAAAAAAUAAAUAUCAAUUGAUAUAAAUACGAAGAAAAAAAAGGAAAACAAAACCUCACACAAUCAAGUAGUAAGUAUUAUUCUAUCUCAUAUCCGUUUCUUAUUCGCUACAAAAAUUGUUCCUUGCUACUAACCUAGUCUAAAUCGCAUUAUUGCAUAUUUAUACCAUCAAGCAGGGAGGGAUCCAUUGCUCGAUAAUAACUAACACAUACAGCGUACACAUAUACACAGCAACCCGAAAAGAAAGGAAAAAAGACUAAUUCAUUCUGCAGGUUAGUCUGGCAAUCUGAUAAGUCCAGGGAGAAAAUAAUAGGUAGGGGGGUGGGAGGAACAUGGUUGUACUGUACAUACAGGCU